AUUGAACGCUGGCGGCAGGCCUAACACAUGCAAGUCGAGCGGAGCGGCGGACGGGUGAGUAAUGCCUAGGUAUGUGCCUGGCAGUGGGGGAUAACGUCCGGAAACGGGCGCUAAUACCGCAUACUAGCAGUGGAGGCUAGGUCGGAUGAGCUAGUUGGUGGGGUAAAGGCCUACCAAGGCGACGAUCCGUAACUGGUCUGAGAGGAUGAGCAGUCACACUGGAACUGAGAGACGGUCCAGACUCCUACGGGAGGCAGCAGUGGGGAAUAUUGGAGAAUGGGCGAAAGCCUGAUCCAGCCAUGCCGCGUGUGUGAAGAAGGUCUUCGGAUUGUAAAGCACUUUAAGUUGGGAGGCGUUACCAACAGAAGAAGCACCGGCUAACUUCGUGCCAGCAGCCGCGGUAAUAC
rnacentral:rRNA from 1 species